rnacentral:misc_RNA from 1 species
UUUCCGUAGGUGAACCUGCGGAAGGAUCAUUAAUGUAUUGCUUGGGGGAGCGGUGGCGGCCUGCACCGGUGGAGACGCCGUGCUGCGGUCGCCCCGCGCCCUCUUCCAAUUUCAAACCCCUGUGAACCUUUGGGAAAGGCGGCUGUAGUGGCCUGCCCGCCCCGUUUUAACAACUCUGAUGUCUAUUUGAAUGUGUGUCGGGACUUACCCGAUUUAAAAUGAAACAACUUUCAACAACGGAUCUCUUGGCUCUCGCAUCGAUGAAGAACGCAGC